GGGCGCAAGCCUGAUGCAGCCAUGCCGCGUGUGUGAAGAAGGCCUUCGGGUUGUAAAGCACUUUCAGCGGGGAGGAAGGCGAUAAGGUUAAUAACCUCAUCGAUUGACGUUACCCGCAGAAGAAGCACCGGCUAACUCCGUGCCAGCAGCCGCGGUAAUACGGAGGGUGCAAGCGUUAAUCGGAAUUACUGGGCGUAAAGCGCACGCAGGCGGUCUGUCAAGUCGGAUGUGAAAUCCCCGGGCUCAACCUGGGAACUGCAUUCGAAACUGGCAGGCUAGAGUCUUGUAGAGGGGGGUAGAAUUCCAGGUGUAGCGGUGAAAUGCGUAGAGAUCUGGAGGAAUACC
rnacentral:rRNA from 1 species